rnacentral:lncRNA from 1 species
GCACAGUGGUGGCCACCGCGACUGGUGCUGAAGUGUUGGCGCGUGCCGGGCGCUCCGCUGGGACCCGGGUUGCUGGCCCUGAGUCUCAGCUUUCUCAUCUGUACGGUUGGGACAAGUACAGUAACCCUCGCCCGUCAAGACGGGCCAGGGCUGUGGCGAGGGUCCACGCCUUAGAGCAGGCAGGAGUAGGGCUGAUUGGAGCCAUUGUACAGUGUCGGGAACAUACCAGGACACUGAGAAUAGUGUCAUGUCAUAAGGACCCAGAGCAGAUGGACCCUGCUGUGAUGCACAAAGCACGUGCUCUCUACGGUUAAUGUCAUCCUUGGGAAGCCCGUCUUGAACACCUGGAAGGUUUUACAACAGCAACGGACCAAGCAGAGUUCACAGCUACUACAUUCAGUGGGAAGGUUUUCCCAAGCACUACAAUUAGGAGAUAGCCCUCCUUUGUCCUUCUCCCAAACUAAUGUGCAGAUGAGCAGCAUGGUAAUCAUGUCCAGCCACCCAAAAACCUAUCAACAGAGGUUUGUUUUCCCAUACUUUGACCUCUGGGGCAAUGUGGUCAUUGACAAGAGCUAUCUAGAAAACUUGCCAUCAGAUUCACCUAUUGUCACCAUGGCUUUCCCAACUCUCCAAGCCAUCCUUGCCCAGGGUAUCCAGGAAAAUAAUUUUGCAGAGAGCUUAGUGAUGACGACCACUGUCAGCCAUAAUGUGACUAUGCCAUUCAGCAUUUCAAUGACUUUUAAGAACAACAGCCCUUCAGGCGGCGAAACAACAUG